rnacentral:rRNA from 1 species
GUAGGUGGCAAGCGUUGUCCGGAAUUAUUGGGCGUAAAGCGCGCGCAGGUGGUUCUUUAAGUCUGAUGUGAAAGCCCCCGGCUCAACCGGGGAGGGUCAUUGGAAACUGGGGAACUUGAGUGCAGGAGAGGAAAGUGGAAUUCCACGUGUAGCGGUGAAAUGCGUAGAUAUGUGGAGGAACACCAGUGGCGAAGGCGACUUUCUGGCCUGUAACUGACACUGAGGCGCGAAAGCGUGGGGAGCAAACAGGGAUUAGAUACCCUGGUAGUCCACGCCGUAAACGAUGAGUGCUAAGUGUUGGGGGGGUUUCCCGCCCCGUCAGUGCUGCAGCUAACGCAUUAAGCACUCCGCCUGGGGAUACGGUCGCAAGACCG